AGUGAACGCUGGCGGUAGGCCUAACACAUGCAAGUCGAACGGCAGCACAGUAAGAGCUUGCUCUUACGGGUGGCGAGUGGCGGACGGGUGAGGAAUACAUCGGAAUCUACUUUUUCGUGGAGGAUAACGUAGGGAAACUUACGCUAAUACCGCAUACGACCUACGGGUGAAAGCAGGGGAUCUUCGGACCUUGCGCGAUUGCAUGAGCCGAUGUCGGAUUAGCUAGUUGGCGGGGUAAAGGCCCACCAAGGCGACGAUCCGUAGCUGGUCUGAGAGGAUGAUCAGCCACACUGGAACUGAGACACGGUCCAGACUCCUACGGGAGGCAGCAGUGGGGAAUAUUGGACAAUGGGCGCAAGCCUGAUCCAGCCAUACCGCGUGGGUGAAGAAGGCCUUCGGGUUGUAAAGCCCUUUUGUUGGGAAAGAAAAGCAGCAGGUUAAUACCCCGCUGUUCUGACGGUACCCAAAGAAUAAGCACCGGCUAACUUCGUG
rnacentral:rRNA from 1 species